AACGAAACAAAAAUAAUGACUUUAUUCAACAAUCUCUUCUCUUCCCUGUCAUUAUCCUUACGUAGGUGAUGCAGUAAGCACAGUGAAGGCAUUCUUCUGUUUCUUCUGCAUUCAGUGUUUACGUCUGAAUAUUGGCCAAAGCUGAUCACGUGAGCAGCACGACGUAGAACCUGGAAGCGCUGACUUAAACAAUGUAUGAGAGUGACAUAGAAGAGAUGAUUUUCAUUUUUGUGUGAACUAACCCUUUAAGGUAACAUUAUGUGUUUGUAGAAAAUGACUGAAAUAUUCAGUGUGACUAGCUUAGGCCUUCCCUACACAUUAAGCACUUGUAGUUAAUUAGAAUUAUUGAGUGGCUGCUUAUGUAAAUACACUGUAACAUGAAGACUGUAAUGUAAGUUGUGACAUGAUAUCCUUCACCUAAUACUGAGCAUGUACAGGGCUUGAUUUCCUUAAAGAGACAGUUCAGUCUAAUUGAAUAUUCAUGCCAUUCCAAACAGGCAUGUUAUUUUUUUUUUUUCUGUGAGAAUAUGUUUAAACACUACUGUUCAAAAGUUUGGGGUCGGUGAGAUUUUUUUUUUUACAUGUAAUGUAUUUAUUAGUUUAUUUUAGUUGUUAUAUUUUAUCAUUUUUUAUUUCUUAAUAUGUAAAAUGUUAUUCACCUUAUUCCUACGCCCCAUUAUGACGCUUUGCGCGAAAUAUGGGUGUAACUUCCGUUAAGCUGUAAACAAUCUGUGAAAGACUCGCUCUAUGAACGCAAUAAUACGUUUUUUUAAAACUGGAUACGAGAUGACAAUAUUCUGCUCACCCUUCAACCAUUGAACAUUAAAAGGACAUUUACACGUGUAAAAGCAUCAAAAAGAAGAAAACAAGUCGUUUGGAACAACACAAUGCAGGUGUGGUGUAAAACACUGGAAAAGGAUGCAUUGACUCUUCUCAUCUGAAGUCCGUGUGUAAGAAAAUCUGCCGGAUGGGACGCAUACCGUGUCAUUGCGGCAGUGUGAUAGGACACAGGAAAAGGAAAAUCCUCCUAAUCGAGGCUGGAUGAAUUGAGGUACUGUAGGUCAAAAUCCGUUCCUGGAGAACCGUUUAUCUGUGUCUAAAUCGAGAAAGGACAAGACAUCUAUCUUGAAACGGCUCCAUUUUUGUGCCAACUGAUCCUAUACGUCAGUCCAGGAGAGAUAGCGAGGAGCCUUGUCUUUGAGUUUUGAUACGAAGACACUCUUUACAGUCACAGAUAGUGAUAAUGACUGAAACCUUUUAUUGUGCAUAAAAACCACUAAGGUAAAAGUUCAUUUUAUGUAAAUCACCAGCAUCUUAUCUUAUGCUACUUUCCAUUCAGUCAUUUGAAGUAGGAUUGUCCUACUUUAAUUUCAACCGUAGGGGUAAAUCUCAUAAACUGUCUGAGUCAUAUUUCAUGGCAAAUCAUUAUUUUUUUUUAUGACAAUUGAUCCUCCCUCCCAAUCUGUAAAUAUUCAUUGAAAAGAUGGCUUGAUAUUGAUUGAUACAAUCCCAAUUUGGUUGAUGCAUGUUUUUUUUUUAUAAUGUGCCUCCUGUAUGUCUUUGUUGCUGCGUCUGUGUUGUGUACGUCUGUGCACUUUGUUGUUUCUUCGUUGUUUCUGAAGAACUACAUUGUUUGACAGAAGAAUACAUUUGUUAUCGGGGCUGUCGCUAGCGGGGCGAAAGAUGGUGACGAUUCUAGGGGACAUCCCCACUCCCCCAGAAUGCAAAGGGGGAACCACCUUAAAUCCACUGUAAACCAUGGCUUCUUGGGGCUUAUUGCUUUAUUUUAAUGAAUUACUGAAAGAGAAGGAUCUGCACACAUUUGUUCAAAUUCUGUUGGAUUUUUCACAGAAAGUAUUCUCGUCCCUUCAUAAUAUUAAAGGUGCCAUCGAAUGGAAAAUUGAAUUUACCUCG